UGAAUACGAGAUGCUAAGGCGUCGAAGUAGUGUAUGUCAUGCUUCCAAGAAAAGCUUGCACUGUCAUAAUAAAAAAUGCCUGUACCAUAACCGACACAGGUGGGUAAGUAGAGUAUACUAAGGGGCGCGAGAUAACUCUCUCUAAGGAACUCGGCAAAAUGACUCCGUAACUUCGGGAGAAGGAGUGCCUUAUUUUUAAGGUUGCAAUAACAAGAUCCAAGCAACUGUUUAUCAAAAACACAGGUCUCCGCUAAGUCGUAAGACGAUGUAUGGGGGCUGACGCCUGCCCAGUGCCAGAAGGUUAAAGAAGUCGGUUAGCAAUUGCGAAGCUGGUAACUGAAGCUCUGGUGAACGGCGGCCGUAACAAUAACGGUCCUAAGGUAGCGAAAUUCCUUGUCGGGUAAGUUCCGACCCGCACGAAAGGCGUAAUGAUUUGGAUGCUGUCUCGGAGAGAGGCUCGGUGAAAUAGACUUGUCUGUGAAGAUGCGGACUACCUGCACCAGGACAGAAAGACCCUAUGAAGCUUUACUGUAACUUGAAAUUGAAAUUGGACUUUAUUCGCGCAGUAUAGGUGGGAGGCGUUGAUUAUAAUCUUGUGGGAUUAUUGGAGCCAUCAGUGAGAUACCACUCUUGUAAUGUUAGAUUUCUAACUUUGAAUCAUUAUCUGGUCAAAGGACAAUUUCAGGCGGGCAGUUUGACUGGGGCGGUCGCCUCCUAAAUGGUAACGGAGGCGUACAAAGGUUUCCUCUGAACGGUUAGAAAUCGUAUCUAGAGUGUAAAGGCAUAAGGAAGCUUGACUGUGAGACCUACAGGUCGAGCAGGGACGAAAGUCGGUCUUAGUGAUCUGACGGUACUGAGUGGAAAGGCCGUCACUCAACGGAUAAAAGUUACUCUAAGGAUAACAGGCUGAUCUCCCCCAAGAGUUCACAUCGACGGGGAGGUUUGGCACCUCGAUGUCGGCUCAUCGCAUCCUGGGGCGGUAGUACGUCCCAAGGGUUGGGCUGUUCGCCCAUGAAAGCGGUACGCGAGCUGGGUUCAGAACGUCGUGAGACAGUUCGGUCCAUAUCCGGUGUAGGCGUUAGAAUAUUGAGAGGAGCCUUCUUUGGUACGAGAGGACCGAGAAGGACAUACCUCUGGUGUACCAGUUAUCGUGCCAACGGUAAACGCUGGGUAGCUAUGUAUGGAGUGGAUAACCGCUGAAAGCAUCUAAGUGGGAAGCCCACCUCAAGAUAAGUAUUCUC
rnacentral:rRNA from 1 species